UGUUUAUUUCUUUUCCAUUUAGUUCUUUUUCUGGGGUUUUGUCCUGUUUCCUUGCUUGGAAUAUACUCCUUUGCCUCCUCACUUUGUCUCUUUCUCUGUGUAUUAGGUGGGUCCACUACGUGUCUUGAUCUUGUAGAGGUGGCCUUAUGUAGGAGGCAUCUUUGGAGACCCAGCAGUGUGCUUCCCUCUUGUCACCAGUUCCGAAUGUUCCAGGAGUGACCACUGUGUGGGCUAUGUGUGUCCUCCUGUUGUGUCAGGAUUGCUCUUGCCGUAGGUGCCCAGGGAGUCUAGGUUGUGCCCCUGGCUGACUGGUUGUAGUGCUCUGCUGCGUGUGGCUGAUAUGGACACUUAAGUCUGUUUAUUGGCUUUGGGGAGCCUCAGUAGAGUUGAACAAAAGGUCUAAUAGCACAUUUCUGUUGCAGGUUUUCUGUUAAGUGGGUGGGUCCAGAACAGAGCUGAUCAUGAGGCUCAGGGGCUUACAAUUGCUGCAGGACUUUGGCUUGCAAAAAUGUUGUCAGCUCUCUCAGGAUUGCAGCUGUGUGGGGCUGGCACCAGGCAUGGGGGUACCCAGUUGUUCCAGGCUUUGGAAGGAUGGGCCAAUCCCCUAUGUGGCUGUUUGAGAAGCACAGACCUUCUGCUUCUGAUAAGCCCCAUGGCCCACAGGUCCACAUCCACCAUCAACACAGUCCUGGCCCUGUGGACACUUCCCAACUCCCUGGAACAGACCCAGUCAUUCCACUUUAGAACCACCCACACACUCCACCAGUGCCCCACACUCUCCACCCACUUCUCAUGCAUGCCCUUCCCCACAGAGGCAGGGCCACUUGCCUGCCUGCAGAGGAUGCAUUUACAGAGUCUAUGCAGGCUUAAAAGUUGCUUGAGGGCUUGCUGUUGGGUGAGGCCAGUCUCUAGGGUGGGCUGUCUGCCCUGGCUGAGCUGGAUUUAUUCUACACUCUAGUGGGUGGGGCAGACUCUGAGCUAACAGGUCAGGGGAGGAACUCCAAGGGCAUCUGCCAGCAUCUGUGUCAGCACACCUGUACUAGGUCACAAUAAAGGCUGCUGCCAAUGUCUCAGUCCCUGAAGAGGUCUUACAUCUCACUGAGAUGCACCCAGAGCCUAUCAGAACAGAAACUGCUGUCCUGAAAGCAUGAACUAAAGGGAUUAGAAUUAUUCUGGAGGUCAGGAUGACUACUGUGCAAAAAACAGAAAACAAGUGUUGGCAAGGUUGUGGAGAAAUUGGAACCCUUGUGCACUGCUGGUGGGUAUGUGAAAAGGUGCAGCUGCUGUGGAAAACAAUGUAGGGGUUCCUCAAAAAGUUAAACAUAGAACUCUCAUAUGAUCCGGCAACCCCACUUCUGGAGAUCCAUCUAUCUAUCUAUCUAUCUACAUAUAAAGAAUUGAAAGCAGGGACUCGAAUAGAGUUUUGUACACCAAUGUUCACAGCCCCAUUAUUCACAAUAGCCAAAAGAUUGAAACAACCCGUGUCCAUUGAUGGAUGAAUGGAUAAAUAAAAUACUGUAUAUACUGUGAAACAGAAUAAAGGAAACCUCAUUUGAAAUGAUAUUGGGAGGCCAGAAGGGGCAGCCCUCAUGUGCUACCACUUGAUAUCAAUUACAAGAAGAAUCAUCAAUUACAGACCCCAACAGGAAAAGAUGUCCAUUGCAUUCCCAACAAGAAAUUGACUACCCCAGCAACUCAGCCAAUGAGAAAUCAUCACUGUGAACUCUCGCUUUCCACCAAUGGACUUUUGUUCAAAUCAAACCCUCCCAAAUCACUCCUCUUUCUCUAUAAAAUAGCAUUCCUCUCCUUUGUGUGCUGGACUUGCCUAUGUCUUUUGCAAUCGUUUGCUUGUCCUGAAUUGUAAUUCCUCUGCUAUUCCUGAAUAACCCCCUUUUUUAUUUUCUUAAAUCAACAGUACAUAAAAUGGAAUAUUAUCCAGUCUUAAAAAGAAAGGAAAUUCUGAUACAUGCUAAAACAUGGAUGAACCUUGAAGACAUUAUGUUAAGUGAAAGAAGCCAGACACAAAAGGACAAAUACUGCUUGAUUCCAUUAAUAUGAGGUACCUAGAAUAGUCAAAUUCACAGAGACAGAAAGUAGAACAGUAGUUACCAGAGGCUGGGGGAGGAGGGAAUGGAGAGUCAGUGUUUAAUUGAUACAGAGUUUCAGUUUGAGUGGUGAAAGUUCUGGAGAUGGAUGGUGGUGAUGAUUGC
rnacentral:lncRNA from 1 species